AUGAAAACCCUAGCAACAAAAAUCACUUUUCCCUUCUUCAAAACCUAGCAGCCGAAAACACUUCAGCCUCUCUCUCCAUCUUGUUUUCUUCUAGCUUAGAAACCCUAGCAGUUGCCCCUCAUCUUCUCCUCCUCCAAGCUUUGUAUUGCAGCAGCCUCCUUCUUUUCUUCCUCCUUUCUUCUUCAAGCUACAGCGGUAGCUUCAAUGGCCGACCCUACUGUUCUUCUUGUUGCCCUUCAAAUCUGCAACACACAUACAAAACCGAGAGAGAAAAUAGUAGCAACAAAGAUCUAAAAUGAUCUUUGUUGGUUAUAGAAGAGAAAAGCCGAAAAACACAACAGAAAAAUAAAGAAGAACACUAAAGAGUUGAUUUCAGAGUUCCCCUUAAAUCAAGGGUACAUCUCCGUCAAGCUUCCCUCAAAGACGCUUGAAUCUCCACUAUGAAUGUCAAAACCGGUUACAAGUUUAUUGAGAUUCCAUGCUACAAAUCAGUAGGUUGUUUACAAAAGAAAAACUGCUGCCUUAUAUUUCUCUACAGGAGCCGAACACACCUUGUGAAAGUGGGAAGGUUGAACCUCUAUUUAUAUUGUUGUUGCUGGUUGUUGUUGUGUUUGUUUCUUAGCUGAGAAAUAGUUAUAAUCUGUUGUUGAUAUUUUUCUUGUAAAGCUGAAAGUUUGUUAGAGUCUUGAGAUAUUCAUUUACUUCUUUAUAUUGUAAAGAAAUAAAAGAUCUAGGCCUAUGAAAACAGAACCGACAACUCUAUGAGUUAUAAUGGUCUGUUGAGGCUUGUAAAAGAUCUUAUUUUAUUUUUCCU